rnacentral:piRNA from 1 species
UGGAUCUAUAUAUUUAAACGGUAGAAUAUC